rnacentral:rRNA from 1 species
UUAAAAAGCUCGUAGUCGGAUUUCAGUAUUAGGCCCUUCUUCCAAUACGGUUGCUAGUGGUCUUUACUUCCUUAACAGAAUCUUUCAUCUCAUUAAUUUGGGGUGUUUGGGGCCUGUUUCUUUUACUUUGAGAAAAUUAGAGUGUUCAAAGCGGGUUUUCGCCUGGAUAUUACUCUUGGAAUAAUAAUAUAGGACUUUGGUUCUUUUUUGUUGGUGACUUAGAACCGAAGUAAUGAUUGAUAGGGACAGUUGGGGUCAUCCGUACUAUGAAGCGAGAGGUGAAAUUCAUGGACCUUUGUAUGACGAACUACUGCGAAAGCAUUUGACUAGGAUGUUCCCGUUGAUCAAGAACGAAAGUUGGGGGAUCGAAGACGAUCAGAUACCGUCGUAGUCUCAACCAUAAACUAUGCCAGCUAGGGAUUGGCGGAAGAUCAUUUUACGUCUCCUUCAGCACCUUAUGAGAAAUCAAAGCAUUUGGGGUUCCGGGGGGAGUAUGGUCGCAAAGCUGAAA